GUACGUGAAACCGGUCAGGGGUAAACGGGUGGUUCCCGAAAGUGCGAAAGGGGAGAUUCAGGUCUCGCCGCGCGCCGGGCCGUGCCCGCGACAAGGGAUGGCGUUCUCGCGGCCGUGGGGCGACCCACGGUCCGGGANNNNCCACCCCGUGGGUGCGGUCCCGACGCCGGAGUGACGCACUUCUCCCCCGGUAGAACGUCGCGAUCCGUCGGUCGCCGGCCUAAGGCCCCUGGUGGAGCCGAGCGCCGCCCGACCCAGGGGAUCCCGGCCGGGUGCCCGACGGUACGAAGAGAGGAAGGAGUCGGCGCGCCUAGGCNGUCCGCCCCUCCGCAAGCACCCGCGGGAGUCGGAGGCGGGCCCGGCCCGGCCUCUCUUCAUCGGGGCUGUUUGCGAUGGAGGUGUGCUCGGAC
rnacentral:rRNA from 1 species